GAUGAACGCUGGCGGCGUGCCUAAUACAUGCAAGUCGAGCGAACGGACGAGAAGCUUGCUUCUCUGAUGUUAGCGGCGGACGGGUGAGUAACACGUGGAUAACCUACCUAUAAGACUGGGAUAACUUCGGGAAACCGGAGCUAAUACCGGAUAAUAUUUUGAACCGCAUGGUUCAAAAGUGAAAGACGGUCUUGCUGUCACUUAUAGAUGGAUCCGCGCUGCAUUAGCUAGUUGGUAAGGUAACGGCUUACCAAGGCAACGAUGCAUAGCCGACCUGAGAGGGUGAUCGGCCACACUGGAACUGAGACACGGUCCAGACUCCUACGGGAGGCAGCAGUAGGGAAUCUUCCGCAAUGGGCGAAAGCCUGACGGAGCAACGCCGCGUGAGUGAUGAAGGUCUUCGGAUCGUAAAACUCUGUUAUUAGGGAAGAACAUAUGUGUAAGUAACUGUGCACAUCUUGACGGUACCUAAUCAGAAAGCCACGGCUAACUACGUGCCAGCAGCCGCGGUAAUACGUAGGUGGCAAGCGUUAUCCGGAAUUAUUGGGCGUAAAGCGCGCGUAGGCGGUUUUUUAGUCUGAUGUGAAAGCCCACGGCUCAACCGUGGAGGGUCAUUGGAAACUGGAAAACUUGAGUGCAGAAGAGGAAAGUGGAAUUCCAUGUGUAGCGGUGAAAUGCGCAGAGAUAUGGAGGAACACCAGUGGCGAAGGCGACUUUCUGGUCUGUAAUUGACGCUGAUGUGCGAAAGCGUGGGGAUCAAACAGGAUUAGAUACCCUGGUAGUCCACGCCGUAAACGAUGAGUGCUAAGUGUUAGGGGGUUUCCGCCCCUUAGUGCUGCAGCUAACGCAUUAAGCACUCCGCCUGGGGAGUACGACCGCAAGGUUGAAACUCAAAGGAAUUGACGGGGACCCGCACAAGCGGUGGAGCAUGUGGUUUAAUUCGAAGCAACGCGAAGAACCUUACCAAAUCUUGACAUCCUUUGACAACUCUAGAGAUAGAGCUUUCCCCUUCGGGGGACAAAGUGACAGGUGGUGCAUGGUUGUCGUCAGCUCGUGUCGUGAGAUGUUGGGUUAAGUCCCGCAACGAGCGCAACCCUUAAGCUUAGUUGCCAUCAUUAAGUUGGGCACUCUAAGUUGACUGCCGGUGACAAACCGGAGGAAGGUGGGGAUGACGUCAAAUCAUCAUGCCCCUUAUGAUUUGGGCUGCACACGUGCUACAAUGGACAAUACAAAGGGCAGCGAAACCGUGAGGUCAAGCAAAUCCCAUAAAGUUGUUCUCAGUUCGGAUUGUAGUCUGCAACUCGACUACAUGAAGCUGGAAUCGCUAGUAAUCGUAGAUCAGCAUGCUACGGUGAAUACGUUCCCGGGUCU
rnacentral:rRNA from 1 species